rnacentral:rRNA from 1 species
GACGGGCCCGCACAAGCAGCGGAGCGUGUGGUUUAAUUCGAUGCUACACGAAGAACCUUACCUGGGUUGACAUGUACGUGGUAGGAAGCGAAAGCGGACCGACCCUUCGGGGAGCGUACACAGGGUGCUGCAUGGCUGUCGUCAGCUCGUGCCGUGAGGUGUCGGGUUAAGUCCCGUAACGAGCGCAACCCUUGUCAUUAGUUGCUACAUUCAGUUGGGCACUCUAAUGAGACUGCCGGUGACAAACCGGAGGAAGGUGGGGAUGACGUCAAGUCCUCAUGGCCCUUAUAGGUGGGGCUACACACGUCAUACAAUGGAUGGUACAAAGGGUCGCCAACCCGCGAGGGGGAGCCAAUCCCAUAAAGCCAUUCGUAGUCCGGAUCGCAGUCUGCAACUCGACUGCGUGAAGUCGGAAUCGCUAGUAAUCGUGGAUCAGAAUGUCACGGUGAAUACGUUCCCGGGUCUU